AGUGAACGCUGGCGGCAGGCCUAACACAUGCAAGUCGAACGGCAGCACAAGAGAGCUUGCUCUCUGGGUGUCGAGUGGCGGGCGGGAGUGGAAUGCAGCGGAAUCUGCUCAUUUGUUGGGGUUAACCCCGGGAAACCGGGACUAAUACCGCAUACGACCUACGGCUGAAAGCUGGGGAUCUUCGGACCUUGCGCAGGUGGAUGAGCCGAUGCCGGAUUAGCUAGUUGGAGGGGUAAAGGCCCACCAAGGCGACGAUCCGUAGCUGGUCUGAGAGGAUGAUCAGCCACACUGGAACUGAGACACGGCCCAGACUCCUACGGGAGGCAGCAGUGGGGAAUAUUGGGCAAUGGGCGAAAGCCUGACCCAGCCAUGCCGCGUGUGUGAAGAAGGCCUUCGGAUUGUAAAGCACUUUUAUUGGGAAAGAAAAGAAGCCGGUUAAUACCCGGUUGUCAUGACGGUACCCAAAGAGUAAGCACCGGCUAACUUCGUG
rnacentral:rRNA from 1 species